rnacentral:rRNA from 1 species
UACGUGAGGGUGCAAGCGUUAAUCGGAAUUACUGGGCGUAAAGCGUGCGCAGGCGGUUAUGUAAGACAGAUGUGAAAAUGCCCGGGCUUAACCUGGGAACUGCAUUUGUGACUGCAUGGCUAGAGUGUGUCAGAGGGGGGUAGAAUUCCACGUGUAGCAGUGAAAUGCGUAGAUAUGUGGAGGAAUACCGAUGGCGAAGGCAGCCCCCUGGGAUAACACUGACGCUCAUGCACGAAAGCGGUGGGAGAAACAGGAUUAGACUACCCCGGU